rnacentral:rRNA from 1 species
CGAUACUUGGUGUGAAUUGCAGAAUUCAGUGAAUCAUCGAGUCUUUUAACGCACAUUGCGCCCCCUGGUAUUCCGGGGGGCAUGCCUGUCCGAGCGUCAUUGCUGCCCUCAAGCCCGGCUUGUGUGUUGGGUCGCCGUCCCCCUCUCCGGGGGGACGGGCCCGAAAGGCAGCGGCGGCACCGCGUCCGAUCCUCGAGCGUAUGGGGCUUUGUCACAUGCUCUGUAGGAUUGGCCGGCGCCUGCCGACGUUUUCCAACCAUUCUUUCCAGGUUGACCUCGGAUCAGGUAGGGAUACCCGCUGAACUUAAGCAUAUCAAUAAGCGGAG